CCAUAAGGCAUCCUUGUUCUUACUUCAAGCCACUUCCUCAGCCACAUUAAGUCAAUGACCAUUUGGACUCUUUGAGCAUCUACUAACCAAACAUCUUAUUUCAUUGCAGGAUGGUAUGAGAGCUUUCCAGGUUAACUUACAUCAACAUAUCAUGUGAACCUGGGCAGAACCUGGAAUCCUUUCUCUGUUAUUAGCUGGUUGGCAGGCCCUGUGUCUUUAAUCAGAUGUGAUCUGAAGUGUUUCUGCCUCUCAGAGUCUUAUAACAGAGUCUCUGGGUGUGUUGCAUGAACACACUGGACCUAUCAAAAGCAGCAAGAUGGUGACUCCCUCACAGCUUCUUGGCCUUCUGCUCCUCUGGGUUCCAGCCUCCCAUGGCAAGAUUGUGCUGACCCAGUCUCCUGCCAUCCUAUUCAUGCCUCCAAAAGAAGUAGUCACCAUCACCUGCUGGGCCAGUCAGAACAUUAACAAGUGGUUAGCCUGGUAUCAGCAGAAGCCAGGGAGAGCUCCUAAGCUCCUGAUCUAUGAAGCAUCCAAGUUGGAAACUGGGGUCCCAUCAGAAUUCAGUGGCAGUGGGUCUGUGACAGACUUCACUCUCACCAUCAGCAGCCUGGAGCCUGAAGAUGCUUGGACCUACUACUGCCUGCAGUCUAACAGCUACCCACCCACAGUGUUACAGGUGCUGAUGGAAGGCAUUGAAUCCUCCUCUUCUGACCUCCAGAUCUAGGGUAAGGUGCCUCGUGAGCAACUCAGUAGGGAACCAUAGAGGAAAGGGGGCUCUGGGAAAUGUGCUUCCAGAAGAGAUGGUGGUGAUGGGGAGUUAACAGAAGACAGCCUGGGAUGGUCACUGUUUUUACAUCUCUCAGAAGUUGGCCAGUUA